rnacentral:lncRNA from 1 species
UUAAAUUGAAUCUUGAACCAAUACAUUUAUUUUCAACAUCCUCGGCCAAUAAGUGGCAAGCUGAGACCAAUGUUCCUUCUCUUUAGAGUAUUCUCACUUUAAAUGGCUUUGGAAACUCAAGCUUCCUGAGAAACUCAGAUUAAUGUUCUCGUUAAUUCUCCAGAACUCCUUGCCAGUUAACCUGGUCCGGUUCGAGACAUAUGUCUCCCGCUGCUGCUUGCCCUCAUUGCUCUCACGGUUAUGAGUCCCCUCUUCACUGUCUUCGUGACUGCCCUCAUGCUAGGGAAAUUUGGCUCCACCUAGGUCUCUUCCCUCUGCCUCGGUUUCAUAUCUUUACUACCAAGAAUUAAAUUGGGGGAGGAUGAGAAAAGGGGAGUUUCAAAAAGAAAAAAAAAAAUGAGAAGGGAAUGAUCUUUUUUCUUUUU